CCUACGGGGGGCAGCAGUGGGGAAUAUUGCACAAUGGGCGAAAGCCUGAUGCAGCGACGCCGCGUGAGGGAUGACGGCCUUCGGGUUGUAAACCUCUUUCAGCUCUGACGAAGCUUUUUGUGACGGUAGGAGCAGAAGAAGCACCGGCUAACUACGUGCCAGCAGCCGCGGUAAUACGUAGGGUGCGAGCGUUGUCCGGAAUUAUUGGGCGUAAAGAGCUUGUAGGCGGCUUGUCGCGUCUGCUGUGAAAGCCCGGGGCUUAACUCCGGGUCUGCAGUGGGUACGGGCAGGCUAGAGUGUGGUAGGGGAGACUGGAAUUCCUGGUGUAGCGGUGGAAUGCGCAGAUAUCAGGAGGAACACCGAUGGCGAAGGCAGGUCUCUGGGCCAUUACUGACGCUGAGAAGCGAAAGCGUGGGGAGCGAACAGGAUUAGAUACCCCA
rnacentral:rRNA from 1 species